CACUACCACCACGUCUCCUGGGUGCCGCGUUCUUGGUGGUCGCUGCCGUCGCACACGAAUCGCACCGCUGUGGCGCAUCUGUCUCCUCUCUUUCCUUCUCUGCAUCAUGCACACGCGUCCCAAGACAGAGGCUACCAUCUCUACCUUCCUCCGUCACCCCACACGUAAGCGCGCGCACACACUCUCAGCGGCUGCGGUGGCGAGCACCGACGUCGGUGCCGACGAUGGCGGUGUGCCACGCGAGAGAGCAGUUUUGUAUGCGAGGCAAGCGUGUGCGUGGUUACAGCAAUCUCAAUAGCAAUGUGUAUGCACGUUCGCUUCGUGUGUGUGUGGCUGUCUCAUGGAACCGGCACAAGACACUGCUGUCGUUCUUGCUUUGUUUCUCUCGCAUUCCCUGGGCGAUCGAGGGGCCAUCCUUGGCUCCUGUUUCCAUCCGCUCUCCCUCUCUGUCUGUGAGUGAGUGUACACGCGGCAUCUAGCUGCAGCUUCCAAAGUCCCUACUUUUGCUCUUCGCUGCCUGAUUGACUCCUCUACGGAUAUGACGACGAAACUGGGUACCUUGCUGGGCGCUGCAGAGCAAUCAAAGAAGCGGAGAACAGCCGCGCCGCGCAUCCAGGCCAGAGAGAGAGGUGUAAGGCAAAGUACACUCAUGUGCCUCGUGCGCCUUCCCUUCCUCCUUCUGCCCCUCUGCCAGGAGCGCCCGCUGCGGCGCCGGCAUCUCGUCCACACGCGCGGGCCCGCCUGUGCUAUGCCGUGAUAAUGUGAGAAAGAGAGAAAUGAUGACCUCGUGGGUGUCCGACGCGCGCCUCCAGUUUGUCCCCUGCGCGCGGCGUCACACCCGCGCGCACGCACGACGGAGAGAGCAACGGACGGUGCCGAGCCGCCCACAGCGCCACUGGCACCACAUACUGGGGCGUCCCCCCUGCGCCGAACCGCUGUCGGAAAGGCGCGGGCAGUCCCACCCUCCACGCACGCGCACUGGCACGCGUCGGCGCACCUGCCGGCACGCAAGCACACACGCACACGUACACGCGCGCGCAUCGACGCGCUCACAGGCGUCCGCGCCGCUAUGCACCAGCACCAGCAGCGUCUGCUCGGGCACGCACAUACGCACGCCACCGCCACCACCGCGGCGGGCGACGCCGAGGGGCCCACAAGCAAACCCGUUGUCCUCCCUCUUCCUUGUCGCCCCGCAGCCGCACUCGAUACGCUCCGCACCCGCACCCUAGCGGGCGUGCCGGAGCGCCACCGCGCACACGACCGACUGCUCCACUGGGGCGCCGCGCUCGCACGCGUCUCGCGUGUGGCGCGGGUCCUGAGCCAAAGUCCCUCGCCCACACAAAGCAGGCAGCAAGUGCCGGGUGCCGGGGGAAACCCCCAGAGAGCUACAAGCGCCACGAGGCACCGCCGUACACACCCGCUGCUCGCAUGUCGGCCAGCGGGGCCAUCGGCUGCCGCGGUACGGCUCCCCUCUCAGCGAAGGGUGGGGCGCCUGCAUCUCCGCGCCGGCACUCGUGCUGGUGUGCGGGUGAUCCCGCGGCAGAAGCUAUCGGUGCGCGCUGCUCCGUGCCGGCAGCACCUCGCGUGCUUCCGCGUGCUGUGCAGCGCGUGCCAUGACGGGCGGCGCACCCGCCGUGCAUCCACCCCCUACGCCGCGUGCGCGCACGUCUCCGGGCGUGUGUGCGUGCGCAGUCGGAUGCGAAUGAGUCGCGCACCUGCGCGUCCCGCGGCGGGGCCUGUGCCACGUGCGCAGGCGUGCUGCGCCAGUCUCCCCACUCGGUGGUUUCUGUGCGACGUUGGGCAACACACGCGACGGGGGGGAGAGGCACACGCCCGCCCCCCCCGCCGCAUAACACCGUACAGUCAUGAGCAGCUGGCGGACGGGCAGGCCGCUGCGGCGGCCGCCACGCCAUGCAGAAGAGGGCUUAUCGCACACACGAACCCGUCACGACGACGCGGUGGUGCGCGCUGCCGCAGCCGCUCCGCCACGCGUGAUGCGCGGUGCGCUGUGUGUGCCGUGCCGUGUCGUGUGCUGGGCGCUGCUGUGGUGUGUGGCGUGUGCGGGCCGCCUGUGCUCCGCGCGGCUACCGUGUACAUGUGUGUCUGCGUCCCCUGUGUGCCAGCGGUGUGCUGGCGUCCGCCACUCUCGUGCGUGGCGCCGUGGCUGCGCACGCGCGCCUGCUCCGCAGGCCCGUGUGUGCCGCAGCAAUGCCUGUGCGGCGGUGUCUUUCCAAUCCCGAAGCACCGCGAGGCAGCUUGGACACUCCCCCACCUCUGCGUGUCAACGCAGCUGAUCUCUCCCGUGCCGUUCUAGAUGUUUUGCCUCUUCUCGCUUCUCUGUAUCCCCUCCGCUUCCCCGACGCUCAAAGUGUUACUACUGGGGCGCCGGCAGUCUUGAUGUCGGGACUAGCGUGGUGGGCAACGAGCUUCCGAAUGAUGCAUUGGUUGUGAUCCAUGGCAGUGGCGUGCUCUCCUCUUUUCAUUCUGCUCUCCUUUCCUAGCUACCUCCUCUCCACCCCCUUCCGUCAG
rnacentral:misc_RNA from 1 species